rnacentral:rRNA from 1 species
CAGUCGCCGCGGGAAUACGGAGGGUGCAAGCGUUAUCCGGAUUUACUGGGCGUAAAGCGUGCGUAGGUGGUGGUUUAAGUCCGUUGUGAAAGCCCUGGGCUCAACCUGGGAAUUGCAGUGGAUACUGGGUCACUAGAGUGUGGUAGAGGAUAGUGGAAUUUCCGGUGUAGCAGUGAAAUGCGUAGAGAUCGGAAGGAACAUCUGUGGCGAAGGCGACUAUCUGGGCCAACACUGACACUGAGGCACGAAAGCGUGGGGAGCAAACAGGAUUAGAUACCCCUGUAGUCCCUGUCUCUUAUAC